rnacentral:rRNA from 1 species
UACGUAGGGGGCAAGCGUUGUCCGGAUUUAUUGGGCGUAAAGCGCGUGUAGGCGGCCUUGCAAGUCGGGUGUGAAAGCCCUCAGCUCAACUGAGGAAGCGCGCCCGAAACUGCAGAGCUUGAGUACCGGAGAGGAUGGCGGAAUUCCCCAAGUAGAGGUGAAAUUCGUAGAUAUGGGGAGGAACACCGGUGGCGAAGGCGGCCAUCUGGACGGAUACUGACGCUGAGACGCGAAAGCGUGGGGAGCAAACGGG